CCGCCCACCUGCUUGCCUUAACCCCUUUCCGGCCCUGGCUGGGACUUGCCCAGCCGGCCCUUGACAAACAGCUUCAGCUUCCACUUUAACCCUGCUUUGGCUAGACUUUCUUUUUUUUUUUGGUUUUUUGUUUUUUGUUUUUUGUUUUUUUUAAAGAUAGAGUGAGGGGGGAGAGAGAGAGAGAGAAUUUUUAAUAUUUAUUUUUUAGUUUUCGGCGGACACAACAUCUUUGUUUUGCAUGUGGUGCUGAGGAUCGAACCCGGGCCGCACGCAUGCCAGGAGAGCGCGCUACCGCUUGAGCCACAUCCCCAGCCCCUGGCUAGACUUUCUUUCUUUUUUAAAUACUUUUGAUUGCACAUGGACACAAUACCUUUAUUUUGUUAUUUAGUUUUUUUAUGUGGUGCUGGGAGUCGAACCCACUGCCUCACUCUCGCGCUAGGCGAGCGCUCUACCACUGAACUACAACCCCAGCCCUUGGCUAGACUUUUGAGUGUAACUUAUUUUUUGUUACAGGAUGCGUUUAUAACAUGUUUGUCAAAGAUCAUGCAAUUCUAUAGAUAUAAUGGCUUUCCUUUGAACCCUUAAGUUCUCAGUACUUUUUCUUGUCCCAGUGCCUGAAAUCUAGUAGCACUUUUGGUAGUGAGCUUUUGGGUAGCAAUUACCACACGGUAUUGUAAUCAUUUGUUGUGGCAUUUAUUUAUGCAUAAUUCCCGACCCUACCCCGCCCCUUCUCUGGAAACUGAAACUUCCUGUAGGCUGAGGCCUAGACUGUUUACCUUUGUACCCACAGAGAUUUUCUCCUGCACACGCAAUUCAGAAGCAGUGGAUAAUUCUGGCUUAAUUGCAGUCAUCUAAAGGUUUGGGGAUGGAUAAUCCAUCUCCAAAAUGACUCACCUGCUUGGCAAUGCCAGGGAUUGAACCCAGGGCCUCACACGUACUAGAGUGCCUGCUCCUGUCCCUGAGAAGGGAGGUGAUGGAGUUCCUGGGGAGGAACCCUUCUACCCUGCAUGCCUACCUGCUAUACGGAAGCUGCUACAGAACAUAAUAAGCAGAACCGCACAUGCUGACAGAUCCCCAGAACACACUGCCAUGAAGACACCUAUCUACCUAGGGUCUACACUGGAAGAGACACCAAAGAGACAGUGUCAGAAUUUGCUUGCACAGGAGAAAGAAGAAGAAAAGUCCUAUAAGGUUUUAAAAUUUGGAUGAGUAAACUGUGACCUUAGCAAGUGAUUAA